rnacentral:misc_RNA from 1 species
CGCACAUUGCGCCUGGUGGUAUUCCGCCAGGCAUGCCUGUUCGAGCGUCAUUUAAACCAAUCCAGCCUCGUGCUUGGGUCUUGGGCUUUUCGCCUCUAGGCGGGCCUCAAAAUCAGUGGCGGUGCCUUCUGGCUCUAAGCGUAGUAAUACUUCUCGCUAUAGAUGUCUGGAGGUAUCUUGCCAGCAACCCCUAAUUCUUUAAGGUUGACCUCGGAUCAGGUAGGGAUACCCGCUGAACUUAA